GAUGAACGCUGGCGGCGUGCCUAAUACAUGCAAGUCGAGCGAACGGACGAGAAGCUUGCUUCUCUGAUGUUAGCGGCGGACGGGUGAGUAACACGUGGAUAACCUACCUAUAAGACUGGGAUAACUUCGGGAAACCGGAGCUAAUACCGGAUAAUAUUUUGAACCGCAUGGUUCAAAAGUGAAAGACGGUCUUGCUGUCACUUAUAGAUGGAUCCGCGCUGCAUUAGCUAGUUGGUAAGGUAACGGCUUACCAAGGCAACGAUGCAUAGCCGACCUGAGAGGGUGAUCGGCCACACUGGAACUGAGACACGGUCCAGACUCCUACGGGAGGCAGCAGUAGGGAAUCUUCCGCAAUGGGCGAAAGCCUGACGGAGCAACGCCGCGUGAGUGAUGAAGGUCUUCGGAUCGUAAAACUCUGUUAUUAGGGAAGAACAUAUGUGUAAGUAACUGUGCACAUCUUGACGGUACCUAAUCAGAAAGCCACGGCUAACUACGUGCCAGCAGCCGCGGUAAUACGUAGGUGGCAAGCGUUAUCCGGAAUUAUUGGGCGUAAAGCGCGCGUAGGCGGUUUUUUAAGUCUGAUGUGAAAGCCCACGGCUCAACCGUGGAGGGUCAUUGGAAACUGGAAAACUUGAGUGCAGAAGAGGAAAGUGGAAUUCCAUGUGUAGCGGUGAAAUGCGCAGAGAUAUGGAGGAACACCAGUGGCGAAGGCGACUUUCUGGUCUGUAACUGACGCUGAUGUGCGAAAGCGUGGGGAUCAAACAGGAUUGGAUACCCUGGUAGUCCACGCCGUAAACGAUGAGUGCUAAGUGUUAGGGGGUUUCCGCCCCUUAGUGCUGCAGCUAACGCAUUAAGCACUCCGCCUGGGGAGUACGACCGCAAGGUUGAAACUCAAAGGAAUUGACGGGGACCCGCACAAGCGGUGGAGCAUGUGGUUUAAUUCGAAGCAACGCGAAGAACCUUACCAAAUCUUGACAUCCUUUGACAACUCUAGAGAUAGAGCUUUCCCCUUCGGGGGACAAAGUGACAGGUGGUGCAUGGUUGUCGUCAGCUCGUGUCGUGAGAUGUUGGGUUAAGUCCCGCAACGAGCGCAACCCUUAAGCUUAGUUGCCAUCAUUAAGUUGGGCACUCUAAGUUGACUGCCGGUGACAAACCGGAGGAAGGUGGGGAUGACGUCAAAUCAUCAUGCCCCUUAUGAUUUGGGCUACACGCGUGCUACAAUGGACAAUACAAAGGGCAGCGAAACCGUGAGGUCAAGCAAAUCCCAUAAAGUUGUUCUCAGUUCGGAUUGUAGUCUGCAACUCGACUACAUGAAGCUGGAAUCGCUAGUAAUCGUAGAUCAGCAUGCUACGGUGAAUACGUUCCCGGGUCU
rnacentral:rRNA from 1 species